rnacentral:rRNA from 1 species
AUUGAACGCUGGCGGCAGGCCUAACACAUGCAAGUCGAGCGGAUGAAGGGAGCUUGCUUCUGGAUUCAGCUGCGGACGGGUGAGUAAUGCCUAGGAAUCUGCCUGGUAGUGGGUGAUAACGUCCGGAAACGGGCGCUAAUACCGCAUACGUCCUGAGGGAGAAAGGGGGGGAUCUUCGGACCUCACGCUCUCAGAUGAGCCUAGGUCGGAUUAGCUAGUUGGUGGGGUAAAGGCCUACCAAGGCGACGAUCCGUCACUGGUCUGAGAGGAUGAUCAGUCACACUGGAACUGAGACACGGUCCAGACUCCUACGGGAGGCAGCAGUGGGGAAUAUUGGACAAUGGGCGAAAGCCUGAUCCAGCCAUGCCGCGUGUGUGAAGAAGGUCUUCGGAUUGUAAAGCACUUUAAGUGGGGAGGAAGAGCAGUAAGUUAAUACCUUGCUGUUUUGACGGUACCAACAGAAUAAGCACCGGCUAACUUCGUG